rfam:Gloeophyllum trabeum ATCC 11539 unplaced genomic scaffold GLOTRscaffold_00017, whole genome shotgun sequence.
GGGCAUGUGGCACAGUGGUAGCGCGCACGCUUUGCAUGAUUUACACAGUUAAAUGAUGUAAUUCUUGGUGCGUGAGGUCUAGGGUUCGAACCCCUACUUGUCCA